rnacentral:lncRNA from 14 species
GAAGAAGGUAAUAUCCUGACCCAGAAUCUAGAAGGAAGACUACAGAAGCGCUUUCACAGCUGGAAAUGCAAGUCCCUUUGUUCAUUUGCAGAGCAAAGUCUUAGUAUUGGCAUCGAGAACCGUAGUGGCUGUCCCUGGUCCUCCUCUACAGACAGAGCCAUCCUCAGUUCUACUCUGACUCAUUUCACUGGGAUUUCUUUUGAAAUAAACCAUUAACUUAAGGAGUGUUUGAAAGAUCGGACCCAUGAGAACUUGCUGUUUGUCACAGAUGGGCAGAAUGGUGAGAAAACUCAUGGGGAGGGAGAGCCAUUGUUGAACAUGGACUACUCCUUGCACAGCCAUUUAGAGGUUCAUGCAAAAUAACAAGUGCAACCAGCCGUAGCAGUAAUGGAAUACUGCCAAAACCGUGCUAUCAGAAUGCAGCCCAGCCCAGAAGAGAACUGAAACAGCUCCUUGAUUCCUGUUGGAAACCCUGGAAGUCAGAAUCAAGCACUCACUGUGAGGGAACUUCUCUUGUGGAAUUUGCUGACUCUUUCUGGACACCACUGAGCAAUCCUAGGGCAUGGUGAUCUCUACUGUGCGGGGGCUGAGGAGGAGAUGGCCUUCUGAAAAAGGAAAUGUGGCAAACAGGAAAAGAAGGCAUUUAAGGAAGAACCACAGCUGAAUUGUUGGCUUGGCCUUACUGCAUUCUAGAUAAAGGAAUGGAAGAUGAAUGGAUUCACACCCAAAUUCCACUGCAGUCAUCAGCAGAAACUUUAGAACUCGGUGCAGGGGCCACGUGUCCACCUCCAUGAGCAGCUGUUAAGGCACAAGGAUCCCUGAGCCUGUGUCCUGACGUGUUCUUAGUUGGUUGAUCCAGUUCUGUAACGGGAGUGGUCAGGUGUUAUGAAUGCAGCCAUGGUGACAGAGAUGUCUGUUACCAGCUGGAAAGCUCUUGUGUAAUUCUUGUGACAGGCAUUCAUGCUCCUGCAAAUCUGUCCUUUUUAGUUCUCUAGUCACUAUUUUCAGGCCUCCUCAGUCAGCAGCCAGAUUGUUGCACGG